AAACCGAUGAGGUGGAAACGGACAGAGCUGGCGUAUCUGGCCUGCAUUCAGCCGCUGCGCGUCGGGCCCCGGUUUGCCGCACUCCAGAUUGGGAAGGUGGCUGGGCUGCUGGCGUGCUGGUGGUGCAUUUGCAGGUGGAGUGCGCCGAGGCGCCCGGUUCAGCGGCAUGAGCUCGGCUUUGAGGCCAGUCGCGCAAGCGGUCUGGUACCCGGGUCGGGGGAGUGUUGUUUGGGCUGGGUGUUCGCUGGGGCACAGGUUUCGGGCCCGGGUAGGUGCCGAGCUGGCGGUCGGCGGCGGUCGCGUGCGACACGUGCCAGCAGUCAGUUCGGUCCUGCUCGAGCUCUCUCGUGUCCGGCCUCGGUGUAAAAGCCGGUCAUCUGUCCGACCCGUCUUGAAACACGGACCAAGGAGUUUAGCGUGUGCGCGAGUCAUUGGGUGUUGAAAACCCAGAGGCGUAAUGAAAGUGAAGGUCUGCCUUGUGCAGCUGAUGUGUGAUCCUGGGCGCCGCGGUGCCCGGGCGCAACAUAGUCCCGUCCCGACUGCAUGCAGUGGGGCGGAGACAGAGCGUACGCGCUGAGACCCGAAAGAUGGUGAACUAUUCCUGAGCAGGAUGAAGCC
rnacentral:rRNA from 2 species